CAAUUUAGGGAUAGAGAUAUUGUUCAGUGGUGAUGAUAAGAUAUACUAGUAUAUUAUAACUCUUUUUAACUAGCCAAUAACUUACAUUUAGGGAUUAUGUACACAUCUAGAUUGGAUUAGUUUAUUUUUCAGGCUCUGUUCUAAGUGAAUAAUUUAAAUAAUAGAGGACCAUUCAGCAUAAUUACUAUCCAUAACAGUUCUUCAAUAUCUUAAUUCAUGUGCCAUUCUUGUCUAUGAAUUUUAGUUUUGCAUAUGUUUUUUUUUUUUUUGCCCAAAGAGCUGAAAAGCUCAGGCUUUAGAGUUAGACACACCUAGCUUUUGGGAACAGCUGUGCAACUUUGGCAGCAUGGUAACCUUGGGCAAGUUCGAUCUUCUCUGCCUCUCAGUGUCCUCAUCUGUCUUAAAACUAUACCUCUUCCUCCCCUCACAGGAUAAUUGUAUAAAUUAUUUUGUACUGUAUUUGGUACACAAUUGACACCUAGUAAAUGGUAAGAGUCAUAAUUAGGCUUUUAUAUUUUAAACUGUCAAAUCUUUGACACAUUGUGGGCCAGUGGUUCUUUCAACACAGUAAUAAAAUGAAGAGGGAUGCAGCAGCACACUUUGAUUUAAAGUGAUGGGAAGAUAAUGUGUAAUUAAAAUAGACAAUAAUGGAGAGAGAAACUUGGUAGUUCUCUGAUUAGGCUGGGCCUGAUGUAAAUAAGUGCCACACUUAUUUUACCAGCUUGGUACAGAUUCUAAAGCUCGAUGAAGUGGGAAUAAUUAUGAAAUACAGGGGUUAGUUUGACUGAGCAAUCCCACUCUAGGGCAUAUGACCGGAUAAAACUUUCCUUAAAAAAGACACAUGCAUGCUCAUGUUCAUUGCAGCACUAUUCACAAUAGCCAAGACAAUUUUUUUCCUACUAUACAGCAUUGUGACCCAGUUACACAUAUAUAUAUGCAUUCUUCUUUCUCCCAUUAUCAUGUCUGGUCACUUAUGAUGGAGCAUGAUAAUUAUUAGGAGUUUCGAAUUUUUCUUUUCUUUGCUGGAGAAAUCAAGAGACUUUUAACACCUUGCUAAAUACUCUGUAAACUCAGCUUCCAAUGGGGUUUUAGGAGAGUAGAAAUGAUUUUUCUUUUUAUUAGUUCUUUGAAUAUGUUUCCAGUAAAAAAUAUUAUUAAUAAAAUAAAUAUCGUACGUGCAUAUAGGUAUAUGUGUACUUCUAACAGCCUCCUACCAGAAUUCCAAAGAGUAUAUCUUGGCAACUAUGGUAGAUAGCAUGUGAUUAUACUUUUACUAAAGCAAAAAAUUUGACUAAAUCUCAUUUGAGAGAGUACAUUACAGUAAAAUUUCUCUUAAAACUACUUGUUUGACAGAAUAAAUAUUUUUUUAAAAUUUCUGUUGAUAGUGAAAUAAAUUAAAUAGGAAGGAAUUUGAAAAUAAAGGUAAACAUUCUAGAAAACAACCAUGUUUUUUCUUUAGUGAAUAUAAUUUUCAUUGAAGGUAGAUAUUCCUAUUACCUGAAUGAUAGUCACAUCUCCAUAUAUCAGAACUUUAAUGUUUACUUCUCCAUCAUAUCUUUUGAGUCCCUUCUCUUUUAUGAAACUGAAAUAAAAAUAACCUGUACGACUCUUUCCUUCUUAAAUCAAUAUAUUUGUAAAUAGCCAUUUUCUUAUUAAUAGCACAUUCACUUUUAAAGUAAAAUUUUAUUAAUUUCUGACUAUAUAAAGAAAUAAAUAUCAUUAAGAAAAAUAUACUGAAGGAAAGGAAAAUCACUAAUUACCUCAUUGUGUAAAAUAUUAACAAUGCUCAUUGAUACCCUAUAAUUACUGUACUCAAAAUUAUGUGUUAAUGAAUCAAUAUGUUUUGCAUGUUUUCUUUCAGGAGUUUCUCAAUAGGAGAUAAUAAUAACAGUAAUAAUAAUAAUGUUAAAUUUGAAUCAAGGCAAAUAGAUGUCUUUGAAUUCUUCUUUUGGGUCUUAUUUUUUUUUGCUUAAUUUAGUUUCAAGUAUGUUUCUAACAACUAAAAAUUUAUCAAAAGUAUAAUUUAAUUACCAAAAAUUAUUCCCAGCAAUGAUUUUUGACAAAACUUAUUUACUCAUACUCUUAUUUUCAGGCAUUCAAUUCUAAUAUUUCCUUUUUUUAGAAUAUAUAAUGUCACAGUGAAAACCUUUAAAUAUAAGUGAUUAUCUGCACCUUAGGUCUGUUUAUUUUCCAACUCCUAGUGUUUGAAAAAACCACAUUUAAUAAUUUUCUAUGAACCUAAGUAAAGUACAAGAAAUUGAGUAUAUCCUUUAACAAUCAACCUAGUCAAAAUUAUAAGUAAUGAUUUCCUCUUAUAAGCAGUCAUAGAUUUCAAUCAUGUCCUAGUUACAAAACAAAGGAAUGGUAGUUAAGGCUUAUGUAAUACAUUCUAAAAAUCAUUUUAAUUCUCAUAAUAUAAAGGGUAUAUUUAAAAAUAGUCAUGAAGGACAGAUUAAUAGAUAUUUUAUUUUAUUCCCCAGUCAGUAUGGUUACAUUUUAACACCUGCUGUUCACAAAGUUCAAUAGAUAGUUAAUAUAUAGCAAGAAUUCCAAAUGAGUUUUGAGAAAUCUGUUUUGAGGGGAUUAGAGAAAAGUUCACAUCUGACUUACUAAUGAGUUGAUUUUAGUUAAUGUGAAAUUCUGGUUGAAUGUAAAUUAAUUUAUCACCUACUCUAUGAGUUGCAAACAAAUUCUUCUCCUUUUUGUUCUGUAAUUUGUCUAUGUAAUAUUGAAACUAUUCAAUGAUUUAGCAGAAAAUAGGCAUAUUUAAUCACUUUAAUUUCUCCAGCCAAAAUUAUUGCAGUCAAUUAACUCAAUCAACAAUUUUAUCCUCCAAUAUGCCAUGCACUUUGGGCCACUUGACUGCUCCUGGAAUUUUAUGGACAAUCUACUAAGACAAAUAAAGGAUUUAAAAGUGCACAUCACAAUUCUAAUGUGAAAUUUUGCAUAUUAUAAAUUUUCUAAUCAAAAUAUUCAGUUAUCAGGAACAUAAAGUAGAAGGUAAAAGCAAUUUAAAGUCAGACCCAAAGUCAUCCUCUUAUCUUUUUACAUUACAUAUAAUGUAAAAGCAAGGUAGUUUUAUUUAAUAUGAAACAUUUUUAUAAAACAAAGUAAUUAUUUCAUUCUAUUACAUUACUUUUCAAGGAAUUCAAUCUAAUGCAAUUCUAUUAAGUGUAUUGCUUACACAUAAUGUAUUUUAAGAUUACAAGGUAGACUAAUACAUUGUAAUUAUAAGUCAGAGUACCUUAGAGUUAAUGUAUUUCUGUGGCUUUUGGAGAUAUACUUCUAUAUUCAUUAGUUAUAAAAGUAAAAAAGAUGGCAGAGUGCAUGAACUUGUGCCUAAGUUUGAAGGAGUUAUAAGAUAUUACUAGGUAUGUUUCUCAGAUCCAGAAAAGGUCCCAUUUUUGUUCUAGUCAUAAUUAGGAAACUUGGUUGUUAAUCAAGUUUGUAAAAACCCAGAGAUGAAAUAUGCCUCAUUAUUCAGCCUCUCAUUCCCCUUCAGAGCAUUCAGUCCUUACCCUCUUCUGUCUGUAAAAUUAAUAGCCUUUUGUAGGGACUCUUCUUUUGUAGGGACUCUUAUAAAUCUAAAAUUCUAUUGAUUUUCUUUACAAAAACAUAGUGAAUAUAAAAACCUAGAUGAAGAGGCAGCUGGGGGCAGUGAGUACAACCUCCAGGUUAUGGUCAGAAUCUUGCUCUGCUAUUGAAAAAUUAUUUGACCUUCAGUUUCAGUGUGAUUACUUUUAAAUGACAGUCUCAAGAUCUCUGAGUUUUACUUUUUGCCUAAGAACCACAAAAAUGAUAUAGGGACUUUGAUUCUCUUAGGCAAAAAAAAAAAAAAAAGGGAGAUAUGUGAAUUCUGUGAAUUGGUAUUGCGUAACAUGGUUUCCAUCACUUGCUAUUAAUUUACUUUUUUUUUUUUUGGUCUUCUGUCUUUUUUAGGGCUGCACCCAUGACAUAUGGAGAUUGCCAGGCUAGGGGCUGAAUUGGAGCUGCAGCUGCUGGCCUAAACCACAGCCACAGCAACACUGGAUCCAAGUUGCUCUUGUGACCUACACCAGAGCUCACGGCAAUGCUGGAUCCUUAACCCACUGAGCGGGGCCAGGGGUCAAACACUCAUCCUCAUGGAUAGUAGCUGGGUUUGUUAACCACUGAGCCACAAUGGGAAUUCCUAAUUUGCUUUCUGAUAGCCCAUGUUUUUAAACAUUAGACAUUGUUUUCUUUUGUAUUGGGAUUUUGGGAUUAACAUUGCACACUACUAUAUAUGGAAUGAAUGGUCAAUAGGGACCUUCUCUUAAAUACAGGGCUACUCAAUAUUCUGUGAUAAUCUAUAUGGUAUAAGAAUCUGGAAAAAUGGAUAUGUGUUCAUGUAUAAUGGAAUCACUUUGUCGUACAGCAGAAAUUAACACACCAGUGUAAAUCAACAAUACUUCAAUAAAAUUUUUAAAAAUUAAAAAUAUAUUGUUCUCAAUGUAUAAAAAUAUAACCAUAAUUCUUACUAAUAGUCAAGUAUUUCAUAUAUUUUACUUGCUUUCAUUGUUUUAUUCCUUUGAUUAUUUUAUUGAAGUAUAGUUGAUUUACAAUGUUGUCUUAAUUUUGCUGAACAGCAAAGUGAUUCAACUUUAUAUAUUAUUUUCCAUUAUACAGUUACAAGAUUUUUAAUAUCAUUCCUUGUGCUAUACAGUAGAAACUUGUUAUUGCUCCUUGGAUUUUUUUUUUUAAUUAUAGUUGAGGGAGUUCUCAUUGUGUCUCAGUAGUUAACAAACCCACUUGGAUCCAUGAGGAUGCAGGUUCAAUCCCUGGCCUUGCUCAGUGGUUAAAGGAUCCAGUGUUGCUGUGAGCUGUGGUGCAGGUUACAGAUGCUGCUCAGAUACCACAUUGCUGUGGCAUAGGCCGGCAGCUGUAGCUCUGAUUCGACCCCUAGCCUGGGAACUUCUAUAUGCAACAGGUGCAUGGAACCCUAAAAAA
rnacentral:lncRNA from 1 species